GGCCACAGCCAUAUCACCCUGCAGCCCAAGACUGGUUGCCUACUGAAGCUAAGCAGGGUUGAGCCUGGUCAGUACCUGGAUGGGAGACCUCCUGGGAAAACUAGGUUGCUGUUGGAA
rnacentral:rRNA from 1 species